rnacentral:lncRNA from 1 species
UUUAAAAAUAUCCCGCGAAAUGUUUUUUAUCUAUGACUUCCAAGAAGUAUUGAUUAUUAAUUUAUCGUAUUUAUCUGUUUAAAUGCUGAUCGUCUUUAUUUCGCCGCUGUAAUUUUUAUUUUGCCCACUUCACAUGCAGCAACUGGGAAUCGUAAUUGGCACGUAAGAGGUGAUAGACGACAACAACAAAAAGUACCGAUCCUAACCUCAAAUCAUCGACUCCUCUCGUGGCCUAGUUCAUGUUUGCGCGCUCCUUCCGCAUUUCCGCGUGAUGUUAUGUGAAAAUAAAACUAAGUAAUAAAAGUGACUAGUGAGCCAAAAAUGUCGUGAAUUGAAUAAGUGUCAAGAAUGUCUAGAAGAGGGGAGCGAAUGGUCCUUGCGGCCAUUCAAAAUAAAGAAUGUGUUUUGCAGCAGCCUGCCAGAAAGAGGAAGUUAUUGCCUAAAGUUAUUUCUGAAGUCAAGCCGGUACAUUCCAAAAGAAGGGCGACUCUGAGAGGGGCCAAGAAAAAUCUUUUUAAUGCGAAUUAUGAACCAUCAGCUGGAGGACAAAGUACAAAAAACAAUGACGUGCCUGAGCAAUUGAAUUCUGUACGGCCAGCCACAAGACAAACAGCAAUCCAGAAAGAUAUACCUCAGUCACUGAACUCUGUAUUGACAGCCAUAGAACAAGAAGCAAUCAAAGAAAAUGAGCCUGAGCCAUCGAACGAGUGGUAUUGUCACCGGUGGAUUCAGAACGAUUGUAAACUGACAUCCGAUACAGAAAAAUAUGUAGAUGUUGCUUGUGAGCAAACUGGAGUUACAGCGGAAAUCCUGAGUGAAAGUCGAACUAUCUUAGACUUUUCUGGAGAGCUAACAGGAGUUACAGCAAAUGCUCACACUGAAGUUGAGCCCAACUUCAAUAUUCCGUUUGAAAGAAUAGAAGAAACAGCUAGAGUUCAUGCCGACGGUAAAACUGACUCUGGCAUUUCUUGUGAAGAUAAUGUUGUAGCAGCAGAAUCUCAGUUUGGGGAUGGAAGUAACGCCGACGUUCUGACGACAGCUUUGAAGGCAAACGAGUCUCAACCUUUGGUUCAAGUCUUAAAAUAUCAAGAGGAAGCCUGCUCAGUCUUAGAUCAGACACUUGAAGAUCUCUUUAGUAUAGAUACGGCUGCAGCACCAGUCCAAGUCAUUGAAGCCACUAACGCUGCUGAACAGUCCCACCUCAAAACUUGUCAAAAGAAUCCUUUCGCCUCCAUCCUCUCAGCAAAUGCAACAGGUGAAAAGAAUAUUUCUGAAAUCUCAUCUUCGCGUUCAGAACCUGUUUCUUUGUCGAAUGUUUAUAACUAUCCGGAGGAGUCUUCCUCCUCAGUUUCUCAAAAUUUCAUGAAUAGGCAUUCAACAAAAGCUUCGUCUUUGAAUGAACCUUUCGUAACACAGUAUGACGAAAUUCCUGACAUUCCCAUGUUUGGUAUUGUACCGGAUGGAGACUCUUCCGCACUGCCUGACAAUAACCGUGAUCCUGAUGUUAUAGACAUUGAUUCCUUACCCAUAUCUUAUCAGUCCAGUAUCUCUCUCUCUGCCUUUGAAGUCAUACCUGGAAAUGCUGUUAUCGAAAAUACUCUUAGUGAAGGAACUUUCCACCUGCCUGUUAUCAACCCCAUACCUAAAAAUGCUACCGCCGAACCAUCUUCUCUUAGUGAAGGAACUUUCUACCUGCCUGUUAUCAACCCCAUACCUAAAAAUGCUACCGCCGAACCAUCUACUCUCAGUGAGGGAACUUUCCACCUGCCUGAUAUCAACCCCACACCUAAAAAUGCUACCACCGAACCUGCUGCCUCAGAAAAUUAUGCGACUGAUAAUAAUAUUCCUGGUCAAUGUAAGCAGAAAAAAGUGUACAGAAGAAUAAUGAAGUGGGACAGGGAAAAUGCUUGUAUCUACUGUCUAAAUAUAUUGGACGACCCUGACUUGUUCCCAAAACCCAAAAAGGUAUUAUGGACCAAUUUCUCGAAGCAUCUUAUUCAACACCACCCAAAUGAAGAUUUAGUUAAAGAGUACAAGGCAGUCCCAGAUAGCGAUCCUGAGCAAAAGAAAAAAAGAACUAAAAAACAGAUGAAAUUCGCGGAAAGGGCAAUCUCCUAUAUAACAGAAAAGUUGUUGCGGGAGAAGUUAAAGGAAGCCUCAUAGUUGUCAAAAGAUCAAGACAUAGGCAGAUGACAGAAUUAACUGAAGCACCUUGUGCUCACUGUGGGGGAUUAUUUGCUCGGCGAACACUGUAUGCUCAUGAAAAGUUCUGUGAAAAAAAUGAAUUGAGACACGCACCGCCUCCAGAUGGUCAAAGGAGAAAAUGCCUGACUUCGAGUGGCAAUUGGCUGGAAGGAGAAAACAAUGAAGAUGACGCCUUUCUAACAGACUUUGUGUUUCCUCAUUUACGCUUCGGCGAAGCUGCUCUUAUAGCUAAGAGAGAUCCACUCAUUAGACAGUUAGCAAGUAGGAUGGGUAAGAAACAUUUGAGACAAAGUAUUUAAAGUAUAUUGCGAGCCGAAUGCGUAACUUGGCUAAUUUUUUAAUUAUCAUGCGGAAGCAAAGUAAUGAGGUCGAGAAUUUAGAAGAUUGUUUUUGUGUUGCUCAGUACGAUAAUGUUCUUACCGCAGCAAAAUUGCAAUGUGGGAUGGAUGAAAUGACAAAACAAAUGAGGUCACCCAGUGUCAUUCCAUUCCUGAAAAGAAACAUACUGGAUUGUCUUGAGAGAAUGCGAGACAAUGCUCUGCGGCUACCUCACCUAGAAGAGGAGCUUGCCGCAAAGAGGGAAGUGGACAACUUUAAGCAACUACUGGAAAACAAUUGGGGACAUGAACUCGCUGCUCUUGCUGACCGAUUGCUAAAAGAAAGAAAAAUGAAAAAACCAGAGAUCAUGCCACUGAGCGCAGACAUAGUCGCGGGAUGUAAAGAAAUUGAAAAACUUGAAGCUGAAUAUUUGGUGAAGAUCAAGAAAAAUCCUACACAAGGUUUACACGAAAAACUGUCAAAAAUACUCAUAGCUCACUUCCUGCUUCUUGGGAGAAAAAGGCCGACUGAGGUCGCCACAGCGAAGUUAACUGAUUAUCUGGAAAACAUUGAAGAAUUAAAUGAAGAUGAUGAAAAAUUAUUACAAAUGUUGUCUCCUGAGGAAAGAGAAAGUUAUGAAGAGCUGUAUACAUUUAAUAUUUUUGGAAAAGGAACCAAGCCAAGCGCGUGCCUCCUUACCCGCCGUAUGAGAGAGUGUCUAGAUGCACUGAUAGAAACAAGAAAAUACGUAGGAGUGCGCUCUGAAAAUCCAUUACUAUUUGCCAAACCCUAUAAUCCCAAUUGUAGGUAUGAUGAAUACUACGAUGGGACAAAAUGUGUUUCUUAUGUCAAAUCUUUGUUUGCACCUCAGAAGCCUGAGCACUUCAAGGCAAAUGGUUUCAGGCACCACGCAGCAACAAUGUUUAAUGUCUUGGACAAAGGAGAAUCUUUCAGGAAACAAGCAGCAGCUCAGAUGGGACACACCUUUAAUAUUCAUAAUAGUGUUUACACAAAUAAAAAGAGUGUGAUUCAGAGAGGAGUUGUUGGGCAUCAGAUGCUGCUGAUGACCCGACAAUCUAUUAUAGAUACUGCAAACACUAGUCGGUCAAAAGAUCAUCAAAGAAUUGACCAUCAAGGAACAGCAGGAGAGAAAGACCUUCACGAAUCAAAAAAUCUUUCGGAAAUAGAAAAGUGUCAAGAAACAGAAGAACGUCAAGAAACAGAAGAGUGUAAAGGAACAGAAGAGCAUCAAGGAACAGAGGAGCAUCAAGGAACGGAAGAGCGUCAAGGAACAAAUGGCCAGCAUGAUUUAGAAGAUUUUAAUGACUCUUUUGACAGUGCUGAUGACUACAUCCCAACUCCGCCACCAAAAAAAACAAAGAAAAACCCAAUUAAGAGACCAAAAUGGAGUCACGAGGCUAAAAAGGCACUGUAUGAUCGAUUUGGUGCCAACGUGGUAUCGAAAAAGAUGCCACCUCCAGGAGAGCUCAAAUUAUUCGUCGAAACAGAAGCUGAAAUGCAAAGUAGAACCCUGGUACAGGUUCGAGCGUAUCUAGAUGCAGCCAUAAAAGGUAAAAGUAAGUACCCAACUGAGUACUUAACACAGUUUCUAAAAUAAUUUUAAUACUCAUGUUCACAGGGCUGUAUAAUAUUCUGUUGCUGUCAAAUCCCCUGUUUGAACAGAAUUUUUGGUUUUUUCCUGUCAUAUCUCUGCGCUUCUCCAGUCAGCUGUAAAACUUCAAAUUCUUAAUAAUAAUUUCCAAAAACUAUCUCUAGAAUAUUGA